rnacentral:rRNA from 1 species
CGGGACGGGUGAGUAAUGCUCGGGAAUCUAGCUUAUGGAGGGGGAUAACUACGGGAAACUGUAGCUAAUACCGCGUAAUAUCGAAAGAUUAAAGUGUGGGACCUUCGGGCCACAUGCCAUAGGAUGAGCCCAAGUGGGAUUAGGUAGUUGGUGAGGUAAAGGCUCACCAAGCCGACGAUCUCUAGCUGGUCUGAGAGGAUGACCAGCCACACUGGGACUGAGACACGGCCCAG